UACCUUGGAUAAGUGAAACCGCGAACAGCUCAUUAAAUCAGUUACAAUCUACAUGACUAUGCCCGACUACAUGGACAACCACGGUAACACUGUGGCUAAUACAUGCCCCUUUGAGGCUCGGCGUUGAUCGCGAUCCAAACUUUCAGCGACUAGGUCGUUAGAAAGAGUCUAUUGUAGUCAUCUCGCAUAGUGUAGUUUGCUGACUGUAAAACCUCCGAGUCAAAAAAUCGGACUUGAGGUAUAUCUAAUGAGUUUCUGAGCCAUCAACCUAAGAUGGUAGGGUAACGGCCUACCAUGGUUGUGACGGCUAACGGGGAAUCUGGGUUCGAUUCCGGAGAGGGAGCCUGAGAAACGGCUACCACAUCCAAGGAAGGCAGCAGGCGCGAAAAUUACCCACUUCUAGCGCAGAGAGGUAGUGACUAGUAAUAACAAAUAUAGGCCCUUGUGGUUUAUAUUUGGACUGUUGAGAUGUUAUAAAUAUCUCAGUAAUUCUAGAUCAGGGUAAGUCUGGUGCCAGCAGCCGCGGUAACACCAGCCUGAUCAAGCGUAUGCUUUAGUUGCUGCGUUUAAAAAGCUCAUAGUUGGAUCUUCGACUACGUGAUCGACCAUAAGGGAUAAUCUUUCAGGUUAUUCCGGUCACGGAUAGUCAUUUUACUUGUUAGACAGUUUGCACUUAAUUGUGUAGAUUGAUCGAAUCAAGUAACAAACCUUGAGAAAAUUUGAGUGCUCAAAGCAAGCUUUGGCAUUGAAUUUUAAAGCAUGGAAUUAAGGAGUAGGACCAGUUUUGGUCGUGAACCAUCUGGUAAUGAUUAAAAGGAACAGACGGGGGCAUUCGUAUUGCUCGGGGAGGGGUGAAAUCCGUAGAUCCCAGCAAGACGACCUACUGCGAAAGCAUUUGCCAAGAAUGUUUUCAUUAAUCAAGAACGAAAGUUAGAGUAUUAAAGAGGAUUAGAUACCCUCGUAAUUCUAACCUUAAACUAUUCCAUCUAACUCUUAGUCAAUGUAAUUUUACUUGGCUAGGCGUUACUCGGGAAACUAAAGUCAUUUGGUUCCGGGGGUAGUAUGGUUGCAAAAUCGAAACUUAAAGGAAUUGACGGAGGGGCACCACCAGGAGUGGAGCCUGCGGCUUAAUUUGACUCAACACGGGAAAACUUACCAGGUCCAGACAUCUUAAGGAUUGACAGAUAGAAUCUCUUUCACGAUUAGUUGGGCGGUGGUGCAUGGCCGUUCUUAGUUAGUGGAGUGAUCUGUCUGGUUAAUUCCGAUAACUAGCGAGUUUUCAUCCAUCUAACUAGUAGAUGUCACUUUAUGUGUCAUCAAGACUUCUUAGAGGAACUAAGCACAAUAUAAUAGUGCUAGUGAAGUGAGAUUAUAACAGGUCUGUGAUGCCCUUAGAUGUUCUGGACCGCACGCGCGCUACAAUGCUCGCUUUAAAUUGUUGAAUAAUCUCUGAGCCGUAAAGGUUUUGGGAAAUCACUAUAAGUAUGAGAAGUUCUUAGUGGGGAUCAACUAUUGUAACUAUUAGUUGUGAACUCGGAAUUCCUAGUACUUAGAUUUCACCAGAAUCUAGGGAUUACGUCCCUGCCCUUUGUACACACCGCCCGUCGCUACUACUGAUUGGUCGCUUAAGUGAGUUGCUUGGAGGC
rnacentral:rRNA from 1 species